UCCUAAUGUGCUUGGGUCUCGCCGGAGAAGAAGACUCCUACCGGGAGUCUUCUUCUCGAUUUUUACUCUAUUUUUUUUUUCAUUUUGGGCUUGGGUCUGUUAAUCUAGCUUGGGCUUGGGCUAUGACAUUCUUCACCCCUAAAAAGAAAUUUCAUCCUCGAAAUUUUUCAUACCUAUCACCAUUGUAUUGGAAGCCUGUGGAUUCUGUUGAGUAAGCGCAUAAACUCUUCCCUGGGUUUUAGAAAUCUGUCCGCCACCCUUAUGUUGUCCUUCAUGAGUUCUUUUGCCAGCUUGAUUUUCAGUAUUUAGCGGGCAGCUAAAAAUUUUAUGAUCCUUCUGACCACAUUUGAAACAAGCACCG
rnacentral:lncRNA from 1 species